rnacentral:rRNA from 1 species
UUAAGCGACUAAGCGUACACGGUGGAUGCCCUGGCAGUCAGAGGCGAUGAAGGGCGUGCUAAUCUGCGAUAAGCGCCGGUAAGGUGAUAUGAACCGUUAUAACCGGCGAUACCCGAAUGGGGAAACCCAGUGUGAUUCGUCACACUAUCAUUAACUGAAUCCAUAGGUUAAUGAGGCGAACCGGGGGAACUGAAACAUCUAAGUACCCCGAGGAAAAGAAAUCAACCGAGAUUCCCCCAGUAGCGGCGAGCGAACGGGGAGGAGCCCAGAGCCUGAAUCAGCAUGUGUGUUAGUGGAAGCGUCUGGAAAGGCGCGCGAUACAGGGUGACAGCCCCGUACACAAAAGCGCAUGUGCUGUGAGCUCGAUGAGUAGGGCGGGACACGUGGUAUCCUGUCUGAAUAUGGGGGGACCAUCCUCCAAGGCUAAAUACUCCUGACUGACCGAUAGUGAACCAGUACCGUGAGGGAAAGGCGAAAAGAACCCCGGCGAGGGGAGUGAAAAAGAACCUGAAACCGUGUACGUACAAGCAGUGGGAGCACAGGUUUACCUGUGUGACUGCGUACCUUUUGUAUAAUGGGUCAGCGACUUAUAUUCUGUAGCAAGGUUAACCGUAUAGGGGAGCCGGAGGGAAACCGAGUCUUAACCGGGCGUUAAGUUGCAGGGUAUAGACCCGAAACCCGGUGAUCUAGCCAUGGGCAGGUUGAAGGUUGGGUAACACUAACUGGAGGACCGAACCGACUAAUGUUGAAAAAUUAGCGGAUGACCUGUGGCUGGGGGUGAAAGGCCAAUCAAACCGGGAGAUAGCUGGUUCUCCCCGAAAGCUAUUUAGGUAGCGCCUCGUGAAUUCAUCUCCGGGGGUAGAGCACUGUUUCGGCUAGGGGGCCAUCCCGGCUUACCAACCCGAUGCAAACUGCGAAUACCGGAGAAUGUUAUCACGGGAGACACACGGCGGGUGCUAACGUCCGUCGUGAAGAGGGAAACAACCCAGACCGCCAGCUAAGGUCCCAAAGUCAUGGUUAAGUGGGAAACGAUGUGGGAAGGCCCAGACAGCCAGGAUGUUGGCUUAGAAGCAGCCAUCAUUUAAAGAAAGCGUAAUAGCUCACUGGUCGAGUCGGCCUGCGCGGAAGAUGUAACGGGGCUAAACCAUGCACCGAAGCUGCGGCAGCGAACGUAUCACCCAAGACAACUUUACGGAGUUGACGAUUGACGGAGCGAAGCGACGUCAAAGCGUUCAUUAAAGUCGAGUUGGCUUAGGGAUACGUUCGUUGGGUAGGGGAGCGUUCUGUAAGCCUGUGAAGGUGUGUCGUGAGGCAUGCUGGAGGUAUCAGAAGUGCGAAUGCUGACAUAAGUAACGAUAAAGCGGGUGAAAAGCCCGCUCGCCGGAAGACCAAGGGUUCCUGUCCAACGUUAAUCGGGGCAGGGUGAGUCGACCCCUAAGGCGAGGCCGAAAGGCGUAGUCGAUGGGAAACGGGUUAAUAUUCCCGUACUUGGUGUUACUGCGAAGGGGGGACGGAGAAGGCUAUGUUGGCCGGGCGACGGUUGUCCCGGUUUAAGCGUGUAGGUGUGUGUUCCAGGUAAAUCCGGUUCACUUUAACACUGAGGCGUGACGACGAGGCACUACGGUGCUGAAGCAACAAAUGCCCUGCUUCCAGGAAAAGCCUCUAAGCAUCAGGUAACAUCAAAUCGUACCCCAAACCGACACAGGUGGUCAGGUAGAGAAUACCAAGGCGCUUGAGAGAACUCGGGUGAAGGAACUAGGCAAAAUGGUGCCGUAACUUCGGGAGAAGGCACGCUGACACGUAGGUGAAGUGAUUUACUCAUGGAGCUGAAGUCAGUCGAAGAUACCAGCUGGCUGCAACUGUUUAUUAAAAACACAGCACUGUGCAAACACGAAAGUGGACGUAUACGGUGUGACGCCUGCCCGGUGCCGGAAGGUUAAUUGAUGGGGUCAGCGCAAGCGAAGCUCCUGAUCGAAGCCCCGGUAAACGGCGGCCGUAACUAUAACGGUCCUAAGGUAGCGAAAUUCCUUGUCGGGUAAGUUCCGACCUGCACGAAUGGCGUAAUGAUGGCCAGGCUGUCUCCACCCGAGACUCAGUGAAAUUGAACUCGCUGUGAAGAUGCAGUGUACCCGCGGCAAGACGGAAAGACCCCGUGAACCUUUACUAUAGCUUGACACUGAACAUUGAGCCUUGAUGUGUAGGAUAGGUGGGAGGCUUUGAAGUGUGGACGCCAGUCUGCAUGGAGCCGACCUUGAAAUACCACCCUUUAAUGUUUGAUGUUCUAACGUGGACCCGUAAUCCGGGUUGCGGACAGUGUCUGGUGGGUAGUUUGACUGGGGCGGUCUCCUCCUAAAGAGUAACGGAGGAGCACGAAGGUUGGCUAAUCCUGGUCGGACAUCAGGAGGUUAGUGCAAUGGCAUAAGCCAGCUUGACUGCGAGCGUGACGGCGCGAGCAGGUGCGAAAGCAGGUCAUAGUGAUCCGGUGGUUCUGAAUGGAAGGGCCAUCGCUCAACGGAUAAAAGGUACUCCGGGGAUAACAGGCUGAUACCGCCCAAGAGUUCAUAUCGACGGCGGUGUUUGGCACCUCGAUGUCGGCUCAUCACAUCCUGGGGCUGAAGUAGGUCCCAAGGGUAUGGCUGUUCGCCAUUUAAAGUGGUACGCGAGCUGGGUUUAGAACGUCGUGAGACAGUUCGGUCCCUAUCUGCCGUGGGCGCUGGAGAACUGAGGGGGGCUGCUCCUAGUACGAGAGGACCGGAGUGGACGCAUCACUGGUGUUCGGGUUGUCAUGCCAAUGGCACUGCCCGGUAGCUAAAUGCGGAAGAGAUAAGUGCUGAAAGCAUCUAAGCACGAAACUUGCCCCGAGAUGAGUUCUCCCUGAGACUUAGAGUCUCCUGAAGGAACGUUGAAGACGACGACGUUGAUAGGCCGGGUGUGUAAGCGCAGCGAUGCGUUGAGCUAACCGGUACUAAUGAACCGUGAGGCUUAACCUU